CCUACUUCUAGAGGCAUCGCAGGAGUGGCUACUGUGUCACAGGUACAUCAGGAGGUGACAGAGAGGAGAGACACCAUGUCUAUACUCAGUGUUCUGACCUAUGAAUAUCUGAAUGAUUAGUAUCCUAACACU